rnacentral:rRNA from 1 species
ACUCAAAUGAAUUGACGGGGGCCCGCACAAGCAGCGGAGCGUGUGGUUUAAUUCGAGGCAACGCGAAGAACCUUACCUGGGUUUGACAUGGGCAUGGUAGUGAAGCGAAAGCGGAACGACCCGCAAGGGAGUGUCCACAGGUGCUGCAUGGCUGUCGUCAGCUCGUGCCGUGAGGUGUUAGGUUAAGUCCUGUAACGAGCGCAACCCUUACUGCCAGUUACAAGUGUCUGGCGGGACUGCCGGUGUGAAACCGGAGGAAGGUGGGGAUGACGUCAAGUCAGCAUGGCCUUUAUAUCCAGGGCUACACACACGCUACAAUGGCCGGUACAGAGGGAUGCGAAACCGCGAGGCGAAGCGAAUCUCACAAAGCCGGUCUUAGUUCGGAUUGCAGGCUGCAACCCGCCUGCAUGAAGCUGGAGUUGCUAGUAACAGCCGGUCAGCCACACGGCUGUGAAUACGUUCCCGGGCCUUGUACACACCGCCCGU